rnacentral:rRNA from 1 species
UACGAGGGGGGCGAGCGUUGUUCGGAAUUAUUGGGCGUAAAGGGUGCGUAGGCGGUUUGGUAAGUCUUAUGUGAAAUCUACAGGCUCAACUUGUAGUCUGCAUGAGAAACUGCCGGGCUUGAGUAUGGGAGAGGUGAGUGGAAUUCCUGGUGUAGCGGUGAAAUGCGUAGAUAUCAGGAGGAACACCUGUGGCGAAAGCGGCUCACUGGACCAUAACUGACGCUGAUGCACGAAAGCUAGGGGAGCGAAAGGG